GAGGAGGAAGAGAACCCUGCCGGCUGCUGCCUUUUUUUUUUUUUUAAUAACUUUUAUUUUUCGUAUCAUUUCCUAUAUACAGAAAAGUUGCAACCAUUCCUGUGUGCCCUUCAAUUCGAUUCUCCAGACAUUAACAUUCCCCUUAUUCUCUUUACCCUUUUAUUUUUUCUGAACCAUUGGGCAGUACAUUGCAGGCGUGAUGUUCCCUACCCCCAGAUAUUUGAGUGUGUUUCCGGAAAGCAAGGACAUUUUCUUGCAUCUGUUGUCAAGGUUGAGGCCUCUUUCACAAUCAUCCUUUCCCUCUUUGCCUUGGUGUGUUGCCUUCGCAACAAUUUGAAAUAUUGGUGUAGGUGUCGAAGAAGCAGAGACUGGGGGAACACUCCUUUUGCAAGGAUUCCAAUAGAGGGCACUUUGACCUGUCCCCGAGGAGGUCAAGUGUUAAGAGACGUCACUCUUCAGUCCCACCAACUUAUCUGAUCAACGUUUCUCAACGUUUACAGCUCUAAAAGUGAACACUUGAAUUAUUGACGCAGAACUCUGUUUCAUUUUAUGAUGUAUGAACCAAUUAAAAAAGAAAAAUCCAUGUUUAUAAAAAUA